rnacentral:rRNA from 1 species
GAUGAACGCUAGCGGCAGGCCUAAUACAUGCAAGUCGAACGAUAGUAUUAAGCUUGCUUAAUAUGAAAGUGGCGCACGGGUGCGUAACGCGUAUGAAACCUACCUUAAUCAGGGGGAUAGCCUUUCGAAAGAAAGAUUAAUACCGCAUAAUAUCACGAUGGGGCAUCCUGUUGUGAUCAAAUAUUUAUAGGAUUAAGAUGGUCAUGCGUGACAUUAGCUAGUUGGAGAGGUAAUGGCUCACCAAGGCGACGAUGUCUAGGGGAUCUGAGAGGAUGGCCCCCCACACUGGUACUGAGACACGGACCAGACUCCUACGGGAGGCAGCAGUAAGGAAUAUUGGUCAAUGGGCGGAAGCCUGAACCAGCCAUGCCGCGUGCAGGAAGACGGCCCUACGGGUUGUAAACUGCUUUUAUUCGGGAAUAAAUCUUUCUACGUGUAGGGAGUUGAAUGUACUGAAAGAUAAGGAUCGGCUA